UACGUAGGGUGCAAGCGUUAUCCGGAAUUAUUGGGCGUAAAGAGCUCGUAGGCGGUUUGUCGUGUCUGCUGUGAAAACUGGAGGCUCAACCUCCAGCCUGCAGUGGGUACGGGCAGACUAGAGUGCGGUAGGGGAGAUUGGAAUUCCUGGUGUAGCGGUGGAAUGCGCAGAUAUCAGGAGGAACACCGAUGGCGAAGGCAGAUCUCUGGGCCGUAACUGACGCUGAGGAGCGAAAGCAUGGGGAGCGAACAGG
rnacentral:rRNA from 1 species